UGGCAUCAUCAGUGCCCGCGACGGAGGCGACUUCCGACGGAAAAAAGUAGCGGGAGGACGGGAAUUAUUGUCUUUGGCCUCUGGUUCUGCGAGCAGAUUGUUUCCGUACCGUCAAAAAAGAAAAAGAAAACACCAGCUACCUUUCUGAAUCUAUUGUAUCCAAGGCCUUUGCAAUGUUGGGAACAUAAUGAGCAGAUGUGGGGAGUCCUGAAAGACUGGUUACAUACAGAGACCAUCUGGCAUCCAGAGAAGGCUACUGCUUCAUCAAGCAGUCUCCACCCUGCUGUAAUUAAAUAUCUUGAAUUUUCUUUCUUUCCCCCAUGUAAAUGAAGGACUUCGUGGUCUUCUCUAGAAAGUUUCUGUUCUGACUAACUUUGAUUCUCAAUUCAGUCAUCCAUUUCAUCCUGUGUUCUGUUGCCUUUCUGUUAUCAUAUCACACAAAGAGAAGGGUUGGGAUAUAAGUGAGUUAAGUUAUCCAGGACAAAAUCUUCACUGACCACCUCAUCUGUGAUGGAAGCAUCCUCAUUUAAACCUCCAGUCACAAAUGCUGGAAUUUGCUUUAUAAGACAAUAGGAAAAAAGACUGAAGCCAAAAUACAAGGACUCUACUCAAGCCUUCUGGAAAGGACUGUGUGGCCUUUGAUGCACGGAGCAAAGAAUUCUUAGAUUUCCCUGCCAGCCCUGAAACUGGACCUGUGAUGUCAAGUUGGGUUUUGUUGUUGUUUGUUUUAACCUGCCAUGGGAUGGGUUGACAGGAUCAACCAUUUUACACCAUGAUCCCUUGUCCCUGGGAGGACUGUCUGAGACAUUAGAGAAAUGGGAUACAGACUCCCUCGCUGGGCUGGGGGAGCUGGCUCAGGUGCAGAGUACUUGCCACGAUAUGAAGAUCCACUUUUAAAAUAAAUCAAAUAGUCAA